rnacentral:misc_RNA from 1 species
AAGUCGUAACAAGGUUUCCGUAGGUGAACCUGCGGAAGGAUCAUUAACACGUAUCCAACGUUAAACCCCCCUGUGAACUUUUAUACUUGCUCUCUUAACUGAUGGAAUUGCAAUCCCUGGUAAAUCAUUGUUAAACAGAUUUUGAUUCAGGGACCUCAGUUUGGCAGUUAGGAUUGAGCGAUCGUUGCAAGUGGCCUGGUUUCCCCAAGCAGUCAGUGUCUGAAAGUGGCAUUGAUUGUGUAAGGAAAACGCUUUACGAUCGCUGGAGGCCGAACACCGGCCGGUGACCGGGCUGCUGUGGCUUUAUGCCCCCUAUAUUUACCCCACUACCUUAACUCGGGUCGCAGGAAACUGCUUCCCAUCAACCGAACAACUGUUAACAAUGGAUAUCUUGGUUCUC